GCUCACAUAGCUCAGUUGGUUAGAGCAUGGGGCUGGUAACGCCAAGGUAUCAGGUUCGAUUCCCAUAUGGGACA